CCUACGGGAGGCAGCAGUGGGGAAUUUUGGACAAUGGGCGCAAGCCUGAUCCAGCAAUGCCGCGUGAGUGAAGAAGGCCUUCGGGUUGUAAAGCUCUUUUGUCAGGGAAGAAACGGUGGGAGCUAAUAUCUCCUACUAAUGACGGUACCUGAAGAAUAAGCACCGGCUAACUACGUGCCAGCAGCCGCGGUAAUACGUAGGGUGCAAGCGUUAAUCGGAAUUACUGGGCGUAAAGCGUGCGCAGGCGGUUUUGUAAGUCUGCCGUGAAAGCCCCGGGCUCAACCUGGGAAUUGCGAUGGAGACUGCAAGGCUUGAAUCUGGCAGAGGGGGGUAGAAUUCCACGUGUAGCAGUGAAAUGCGUAGAGAUGUGGAGGAACACCGAUGGCGAAGGCAGCCCCCUGGGUCAAGAUUGACGCUCAUGCACGAAAGCGUGGGGAGCAAACAGGAUUAGAUACCCUGGUAGUCCACGCCCUAAACGAUGUCUACUAGUUGUCGGGUUUUAAUUAACUUGGUAACGCAGCUAACGCGUGAAGUAGACCGCCUGGGGAUACGGUCGCAAGNUUAAAACUCAAAUGAAUUGACGG
rnacentral:rRNA from 1 species